rnacentral:rRNA from 1 species
CGCUGGCGGCGUGCCUAACACAUGCAAGUCGAACGGGGAUUUGUUUCGGCAGAAUCCUAGUGGCGAACGGGUGAGUAACGCGUAGGCAACCUGCCCUCCGGCCGGGGACAACACUCCGAAAGGGGUGCUAAUACCGGAUACGAAGUCUGUGCCGCAUGGUACGGAUUUGAAAGAUGGCCUCUAUUUAUAAGCUAUCGCCGGGGGAUGGGCCUGCGUCCGAUUAGCUGGUUGGUGGGGUAACGGCCUACCAAGGCGACGAUCGGUAGCCGGUCUGAGAGGAUGAACGGCCACAUUGGGACUGAGACACGGCCCAGACUCCUACGGGAGGCAGCAGUGGGGAAUCUUCCGCAAUGGGCGCAAGCCUGACGGAGCAACGCCGCGUGAGUGAGGAAGUUCUUCGGAACGUAAAGCUCUGUUGUUCCUGACGAACCUCCCUUCUAUCAACAACGGAGGGGACUGACGGUAGGGAACGAGGAAGCCACGGCUAACUACGUGCCAGCCGCCGC